rnacentral:rRNA from 1 species
GGCGGCAUGCUUAACACAUGCAAGUUUAACGUCUGUAAUACAGAAGUAGCGCACGGGUGAGUAGUACGUUAGUUAUCUACAUUUAGGAGAAGGAAAACAAUUGGAAACUUUUGCUAAUACUUCGUAAUACCUUGUUUAAAGGUUAAAGUUUUAUUAUGCCUAAGUAUGAGCUUACGUCUGAUUAGUUUGUUGGUGUGGUAAAGGCUCACCAAGACUAUGAUCAGUAGCUGUUUUGAGAAGAAGUACAGCCACAUUGGGAUUGAGAAACGGAACAGACUCCUACGGGAGGCAGCAGUGGGGAAUAUUUGGCAAUGAGCGAAAGCUUGACCAAGCGAUGCCGCGUGGGGGAUGAAUGCCUUAGGGUUGUAAACUCCUUUUCUUGUUAAAGAAGUUCUGACGUUAGACAAGGAAUAAGCAUCGGCUAACUCUGUGCCAGCAGCCGCGGUAAUACAGGGGAUGCAAGCGUUGUCCGGAAUUAUUGGGCGUAAAGCGUCUGUAGAUGGUUCAUUAAGUUUUUUGUUAAAUGUCAGAGCUUAACUUUGGAAUUGCAUUAAAUACUGUUGAACUUGAGUAAAAUAGAGGUAAAGGGAAUUUCCAGUGUAGCGGUGAAAUGCGUAGAUAUUGGAAAGAACACCAACGGCGAARGCACUYURCUAGGUUGMUACUGACAUUGAGAGACGAWAGCUAGGGGAGCAAAAMGGAUUAGAUACCCKUGUAGUCCUAGCUGUAAACGAUGGAUACUAAGUGGUGCAUUUGUACUGCUAAAGCUAACGCGUUAAGUAUCCCGCCUGGGGAGUACGCUUGCAAAAGUGAAACUCAAAGGACUUGACGGGAAUAUACACAAGCGGUGGAGCAUGUGGUUUAAUUCGUCGAUACACGAAUAACCUUACCAGGGUUUGACAUGUUGGAAAGUUUUCUGAAAAGAAAAUGUGCCUUUUGGAAUCCAAACACAGGUGGUGCAUGGUUGUCGUCAGCUCGUGUCGUGAGAUGUUGGGUUAAGUCCCGCAACGAGCGCAACCCUCAUUUUUAGUUGAUGUUCUAGAAAAACUGCCGAUGACAAAUCGGAGGAAGGAGAGGAAGAAGUCAAAUCAUCAUGCCCCUUAUACCCUGGGCUACACACGUGCUACAAUGGUUAAGACAACGGGUCGCUAGUCUGUAAAGAUAUGCUAAUCUCUUAAACUUAAUCUUAGUUCGGAUUAUAGGCUGCAACUCGCCUAUAUGAAGCUGGAAUCGCUAGUAAUCGCCGGUCAGCUAUACGGCGGUGAAUACGUUCUUAUAUUUUGUACAUACCGCCCGUCACACCAUGGAAGUCGGUCAAACCUGAAGUAGUUUUCUUUAUUCUUCGGGUAUCUCAAUUAGUCGAAUUGAAAGAGACUACUAAGGUUGGGUUGGUAAYUGGGGUGAAGUCGUAACAAGGUWACCGUANUGG